GAUGAAGAACGUAGCGAAAUGCGAUACGUAGUGUGAAUUGCAGAAUUCAGUGAAUCAUCGAAUCUUUGAACGCACAUUGCACCUCUCGGUAUUCCGGGAGGUAUGCCUGUUCGAGCGUCAUUUGUACCCUCAAGCUCUGCUUGGUGUUGGGUGUUUGUUCCGCCUCUGUGUGUGAACUCGCCUCAAAACAAUUGGCAGCCGGCGUACUUGUUUCGGAGCGCAGCACAUUUUGCGAUCCAGAUCAACGUACAGCGGCAUCCAAGAAGCCUUAUUUAACGCUCUUGACCUCGGAUCAGGUAGUGAUACCCGCUGAACUUAAGCAUAUCAAUAAGCGGAGGA
rnacentral:misc_RNA from 1 species